GUGUCACUGGUGCAACGGAUAGCAUACGCACCCGGAAAGAGUGAGAUCUGGUUUCGAAUCCCGGAUGACGCA